rnacentral:rRNA from 1 species
UACAGAGAGUGCAAACGUUGUUCGGAAUCACUGGGCUUAAAGCGCACGUAGGCGGCACCGUAAGUGUCGGGUGAAAUCCCACGGCUCACCCGUGGAACUGCCCGGCAGACUGUGGUGCUCGAGUGUGGUAGGGGAGAGCGGAACUCCUGGUGGAGCGGUGAAAUGCGUAGAUAUCAGGAGGAACACCGGUGGCGAAGGCGGCUCUCUGGUCCACAACUGACGCUGAGGUGCGAAAGCUAGGGGAGCAAACGGG